rnacentral:misc_RNA from 2 species
AACGCACCUUGCGCCUCUUGGUAUUCCGAGAGGCAUGCCUGUUUGAGUGUCUUAUAAAAUCAAUCCCCACGGGUUUCUUGACCCGGCGGUGGACUUGGAGUUGGGCGUUUGCCGGUCACACGGCUCGCCUUAAAGACCUUAGUGGGAUCGAUGGCCUAUGGCUUGACGUAAUAAGUUUCGUCUCGUCCGGUCUUCUGAGCCUGCUCACAACCCUGCCCUCGGGCAACCACUUUAUGCUAGACCUCAAAUCAGGUAGGACUACCCGCUGAACUUAA